rnacentral:lncRNA from 13 species
GGAUGGACACAGGGUGGUCAGAGGUGGUCAUGGGUGGCCAUUGGUCACCACGGGGUGGCCAUAGAUGGUCAAGGAAGACCCUAGGUCAACAUGGGGUGGUCAUAGGUGGGCACUGGUCACUAUGGGGUGGUCAUGGGUCACCAAGGGAUGGACACUGGGUGGCCAUAGAUGGUCAUGGGUGGCCAUUGGUCACCAUGGGGUGGCCAUGGGUGCUCAGCGGUGAUCCUAGGUCAACAUGGGGUGGCCAGAGGUGGUCAGGGGUGGCCAUUGGUCACCAUGGGUGACCUUAGAUCAAUGUGGUGUGGUCAGAGGUGGUCAUGGGUCACCAAGGGAUGGACACUGGGUGGUCACAGGUGGCCAUGGGUCACUAAGGGAUAGACACAGGGUGGUCAGAGGUGGUCAUGGGUCACCAAGGGAUGGACACAGAGUGGUCAUGGGUGGCCAUUGGUCACCAUGGGGUGGCCAUGGGUGGUCAGGGGUGAUCCUAGGUCAACAUGGGGUGGCCAGAGGCGAUCAUGGGUCACCAAGGGAUGGACACAGGGUGGCCANAGGUGGUCACUGGUCACCAAGGGAUGGACACAGGGUGGUCAGAGGUGGUCAUUGGUGGCCAUUGGUCACCAUGGGUGAUCCUAGGUCAACGUGGGGUGGCCAGAGGCGAUCAUGGGUCACCAAGGGAUGGACACUGGGUGGCCAUACAUGGUCAUGGGUGGCCAUUGGUCACCAUGGGGUGGCCAUGGGUGGUCAGGGGUGAUCCUAGGUCAACAUGGGGUGGCCAGAGGCGAUCAUGGGUCACCAAGGGAUGGACACAGGGUGGCCACAGGUGGUCAUGGGUGACCACUGAUCACCACGGGGUGACCGUAACUGGGCGAGGGAUGACCAGUGGUGGCCGGUGGCCGGUGGCCGCUCAGCUGAUGUAGACGCGGUGGAAGUCAUGGGCGCCGAAGGCGGCAUUGCACUUGGGGCACUUCCUCUGGCGCGUGUCGUAGCGGCUCUUGACGCACUCGAAGCAGAAGACGUGGAAGCACUUGGUCAGCACCGCGUCCUUCUUGCGGGCGUUGCAGCACGGACACGUCAGCCGGGCCUGGCGGGACGGACGGCCCAGGGGUCAGCCAGAGGUCACUCGAGGUCAAGCGAGGUCACUCAAAGUCAAGCGAGGUCACUCAAGGUCAAGCGAGGUCACUCAAGGUCAAGUGAGAUCACUCGAGGUCAAGAGAGGUCAUUGGUGGUCAAGCAGGAGUCGUUUGAGAUCAAUGGGAAUCGGUCAAGGUCAAGCAACAGUCAAUCAAGAGUCAGCCAAGGUCAAUAGGAGUCGGUCAAGGUCAACCAGGGGUCAGCAAAGGUCAACCAAGGUCAACCGGAAUUGGUUAAGGUCAAGCAAAGGUCAAGCAAAGAUCAGCCAAAGUCAACUGGAGUUGGUGAAGGUCAGCCAAGGGUCAGUCAAGGCCAGCCAAGGUCAGCCAAGGUCAACCAAGGUCAUUCAAGGUCAAGCAAGAGUCGUUUGAGGUCAAUGGGACUCGGUCAAGGUCAAGCAAGGGUCAGCCAAAAGUCAUCCCAGCUCACGUGAAGUUAGUCAAGGUCAACCAAAGGUCAGCCAAGGUCGACCAUGGGUCAGCCAAGGGUCAGCCAAGGUCAUUCAAGGCCAAGCAGGAGUCAUUUGAGGUCAACAGGAAUUGGUCAAGGUCAAGCAAGGGUCAGCCAAGGUGAACCAGGGGUCAUCCAAGGGUCAUCUAAGGGUCAGCCAAAGGCCAUUCAAGGCCAUGAAAG